AAUAACAGCCAUAUCACCCUGAAUAUGUCUGAUUUCGUCUGAUCUCAGAAGCUAAGUAGAGUCUGGCCUGGUUAGUACUUGGAUGGGAGAAAGAUAAAAAUAGACUGAAGUCUUCUCACAGGCUGGUAAAUAUUAUUG
rnacentral:rRNA from 1 species